GAAUUUAUUUGUAUUUCCACUCAAAUGUUACCCUGGAAGAAAACCCCAGUUCCUGUGAAGCUGUGAAGCCUGGGACUGCAGGGUCCCUCCUGGGUGGCCCUGGCUGCUGCCAGGCAGCAUUACUGACUAAGUGAACACCUUGUCCCUGAACAAAGGUGAAGGAUGGCCAGGUUGGAUGGGGCUCUGAGCAACCUGGUCUAGUUGGUGUCCCUGCCCAUGGGGGGGUUUGGAACUGGAUGAUCUUCAAGGUCCCCCUUCCAACCAUUCCAUGAAAGAUCUUUAUCUCCUUAUGGUGUAAAUCAGAGAUUUACCAUAAAAUGUUUGUAUGGUAGCGGCACAAAUAGCAACUGGAUGGCCCUUAGGAAGGUAGUGGACUUCACGCGUUUCAACAUGCAGCCACUCACGUUUGCUGUUUGAAUCCUUCUGGGCUGUCCAUAGUGCCCUGAUCCUUUUUCCUUUUCAGUAAAUUCUCCUCUUCAUUACAUGAGGGUGGGGGUCAGAUCAAGUGGUGGGGAGCUAGAAAACAGGGACUUGUGCUAUUUACAUUUAAGACAUUUCUGGCCCCACCAGCUGUUCCAUGUGUGUUAUUUUCAGAAGGGCAAUAAUCCACAGGAGGUCAAGAGGGUGGAAUUGUGUGAAUAUACUGGGUGGAGGAAAUCAAGAUGCUUGGGAGUACCCAGGCCUUGUCAUGACCAAGAGUCUGGAUCCCAGAUGAUUCUGGCUGGGAGAACUCAAGGAGAUUUCUGAAAGUGCUGCACAGCUGGGUGUUUGUUAGCUGUUUUCAAGAUGUCAUCUGUGUUUACACUGCUGGCAGGACCACCUGUUCUUUUUUUGAACAAUAAUAUGUGUGUGUGUGUAUAUAUAUUACUGCAUUUCUGCAUUUAUUUUUAGCCCUUUCUAAAAGCCCCCGACAGGUUUGAAAGAUGCUGUGGAUUGUGAAUGGUGCCUGGCGGCAUUGCUCACAUUGAUGGUUGUCAGAAUUUCCAUGCCAAUCUCUGCUUUGAAAGGUUUAUAACUUGUUCCUUCUAUUC